GACGAACGCUGGCGGCGUGCUUAACACAUGCAAGUCGAACGGUGAAGGUGGAGCUUGCUCCGCCGGAUCAGUGGCGAACGGGUGAGUAACACGUGGGCAACCUGCCCCUCACUUCGGGAUAACUCCGGGAAACCGGGGCUAAUACCGGAUACGACCUCCUUGGGCAUCCUUGGAGGUGGAAAGUUUUUCGGUGAGGGAUGGGCCCGCGGCCUAUCAGCUUGUUGGUGAGGUAGUGGCUCACCAAGGCGACGACGGGUAGCCGGCCUGAGAGGGCGACCGGCCACACUGGGACUGAGACACGGCCCAGACUCCUACGGGAGGCAGCAGUGGGGAAUAUUGCGCAAUGGGCGAAAGCCUGACGCAGCAACGCCGCGUGCGGGAUGAAGGCCUUCGGGUUGUAAACCGCUUUCAGCAGGGAAGAAGCCGCAAGGUGACGGUACCUGCAGAAGAAGCACCGGCUAACUACGUGCCAGCAGCCGCGGUAA
rnacentral:rRNA from 1 species